rnacentral:rRNA from 1 species
UGGGGAAUCUUGGACAAUGGGCGCAAGCCUGAUCCAGCCAUGCCGCGUGCAGGAAGAAGGCCUUCUGGGUUGUAAACUGCUUUUGCCGGGGGAUAAAAGGCCCCUGCGGGGGACAUUGAAGGUACCCGGUGAAUAAGCCACGGCUAACUACGUGCCAGCAGCCGCGGUAAUACGUAGGUGGCAAGCGUUGUCCGGAUUUAUUGGGUUUAAAGGGUGCGUAGGCGGCCCCGUAAGUCAGUGGUGAAAUACGGCAGCUCAACUGUCGAGGUGCCAUUGAUACUGCGGGGCUUGAGUAUGGACGAGGUAAGCGGAAUUGACGGUGUAGCGGUGAAAUGCUUAGAUAUCGUCAAGAACACCGAUAGCGAAGGCAGCUUACUAGGCCAUAACUGACGCUGAGGCACGAAGGU